rnacentral:tRNA from 1 species
GCCCUGGUAGUCUAGAGGUCAAGGACGUCGGCCUUUCGAGCCGGAGACCCGGGUUCAAAUCCCGGCCGGGGCA